GAUGAACGCUGGCGGCGUGCCUAAUACAUGCAAGUCGAGCGAACCACUUCGGUGGUGAGCGGCGAACGGGUGAGUAACACGUAGGUGAUCUGCCCAUCAGACGGGGACAACGAUUGGAAACGAUCGCUAAUACCGGAUAGGACGAAAGUUUAAAGGUGCUUCUGGCACCGCUGAUGGAUGAGCCUGCGGCGCAUUAGCUAGUUGGUAGGGUAAGGCCUACCAAGGCGACGAUGCGUAGCCGACCUGAGAGGGUGAACGGCCACACUGGGACUGAGACACGGCCCUGACUCCUACGGGAGGCAGCAGUAGGGAAUCUUCGGCAAUGGGCGAAAGCCUGACCGAGCAACGCCGCGUGAAUGAUGAAGGCCUCGGUUGUAAAUCUGUAUAAGGAAGAACGACUUAGU
rnacentral:rRNA from 1 species